UUCAUCGUGAGAUGAAAUCUGGAGGAAGCUGGCGGCAAACAUCUGACCUAACGAACAGAAACUUCAUACAAGGCAUAUAACCAUGGGCAAGGUUGCACUACAAACCAAAGCCCGAUAGCUAUUCGGAAUGGUUGGUGUAAAUGAAGUAGGUAUAAGAUGGAAAGAUAAUGUU
rfam:Prevotella timonensis CRIS 5C-B1 contig00046, whole genome shotgun sequence.